rnacentral:lncRNA from 1 species
GGUCCUCCGGGUCCAUCGGGUCCCCCCGGACCAAAGGUGACAUGUCAAGUUCAUUAAAUAUCUGGUUGUAUUAACUACUGAAUAUGUACACUCUGGUUAUAGUCCAAUUUAUUGUUCGUGACUUCCUUUCAGACAUUAAAAUGACAUUAAAGUUGUUUCUGUGCAGGGUACCAUGACUAAAGUCCUGAAGGGAGUCAAAGGAGAGCAAGUGAGUACUGCUGUUCUAAACAAAUUUAGGAACACUUUGUGUGUCAUGUAAAAUGAUAGAGACCAAAUUAGCCAAAGAAAGUUGUCCAAAAACUGCUUCAAAAAUGCUGAAUUAAGUGGAGGAAUCUGAAAAUAUUGUGUACAAGUGAAAGAGCUUUUUAUAAGGAAGCACAUUAACGUUCUUAGCUUUUUGUAAGGAUUUGACUCUAUUUAAAAAACGUAACAUAACAACAACACUUCUUUACAUGUUUUGGCUGCAGGGAGAUGUUGGACAGCCAGGCCCACCAGGAAACGACACUCGGCAGCAAAUAAAGCCGCCCUCUGUAAUCUGCAAUUUCCUCUUAUUUUUAUGCAAUGGUGCAAUCAAGGACGUCUGGUUCAUAAAGGAACUCCUUUUUUUGUGUGUUUUUUUGUUUGUUCAAGGGACCACCUGGAGAGAAAGGGCAAAAAGGACAAGAAGGAGAAGUGGACAUCAUUACAGGAGAACCCGGCAUACCGGGACCACCGGGACCCAGGGUCAGCACCGUCGCUUUUUCAAACUCCUGAGGACUCCAUUGUAUGCGUCUUCUUUAAAUUUUACUUUGUGCAUGAUUUUUUAUUCUUUUACAGGGGGAAAUGGGUAG